GCACUUUACUUGCACAACUCUUCUCUUUCGGGGCCUCUCCAAUUGCCAAUUCAUUCCCAUGUGUAUUUUUCAGACUUAGACAUCUCUGACAACUACUUCAAUGGCUCUAUUCCAACAGAAAUUGGAGUAUGUUUUCCAAGUUUAAAUUCUCUAGACUUGUCUGGAAAUGGUCUCACUGGUGGCAUUCCUUCAUCAUUUGGCAAAAUGAGUCAACUGACAGAAUUAGACUUGUCCAACAAUCGACUAUCAGGCAUAAUACCCCAAGACUUGAUUGUUGGAUGCAAUUCAUUGGGUCAUCUCAUUCUUUCAAACAACAAUUUGCAAGGCCAGAUAUUCCCAAAGCAGGCUACUUGCAAAGAAUUGAUUCGAUUAUU
rnacentral:misc_RNA from 1 species